AUACAUGCAAGUCGAACGAGUUCUCGUUGAUGAUCGGUGCUUGCACCGAGAUUCAACAUGGAACGAGUGGCGGACGGGUGAGUAACACGUGGGUAACCUGCCCUUAAGUGGGGGAUAACAUUUGGAAACAGAUGCUAAUACCGCAUAGAUCCAAGAACCGCAUGGUUCUUGGCUGAAAGAUGGCGUAAGCUAUCGCUUUUGGAUGGACCCGCGGCGUAUUAGCUAGUUGGUGAGGUAAUGGCUCACCAAGGCGAUGAUACGUAGCCGAACUGAGAGGUUGAUCGGCCACAUUGGGACUGAGACACGGCCCAAACUCCUACGGGAGGCAGCAGUAGGGAAUCUUCCACAAUGGACGCAAGUCUGAUGGAGCAACGCCGCGUGAGUGAAGAAGGCUUUCGGGUCGUAAAACUCUGUUGUUGGAGAAGAAUGGUCGGCAGAGUAACUGUUGUCGGCGUGACGGUAUCCAACCAGAAAGCCACGGCUAACUACGUGCCAGCAGCCGCGGUAAUACGUAGGUGGCAAGCGUUAUCCGGAUUUAUUGGGCGUAAAGCGAGCGCAGGCGGUUUUUUAAGUCUGAUGUGAAAGCCCUCGGCUUAACCGAGGAAGCGCAUCGGAAACUGGGAAACUUGAGUGCAGAAGAGGACAGUGGAACUCCAUGUGUAGCGGUGAAAUGCGUAGAUAUAUGGAAGAACACCAGUGGCGAAGGCGGCUGUCUGGUCUGUAACUGACGCUGAGGCUCGAAAGCAUG
rnacentral:rRNA from 1 species